AAGCAGUACUGCUCGUCCUACAGUAACUCCCAUGACAUCUGAUGAUGAUGACGCUGCGGAAGCAGGUCCAUCAAAAGAAGUCUGGAGCAGCAGAAGUCGGACUUCUAUAACACACCACCAAAAAAAACAUGUGGCAGCAAAGAAAGCAAGGUCUGAUGUCCAGGGCCAACCACAGCAGGCUACCCCGCCACGAAGAUUAUCGACAGUAUGUUCGGUCCCCCCAAUCCAAAUUUUGGACACACCUCCAAGACGUGAACCACACUCCCCUCAUCUUGAUUCUUCUAGUCCUGGUAACAGCAUCCCUCCGCAACAACAGCAACACAGUGACAUGGAUGAGACAAUCAUGUUAGAAAUGUAGCCAUUAAGCCAAGGAAUCAGGCCCCCAGCACCUGUGAGUACACCACCACAGCAAAGCACACCACCACAACACAGCCCAACCACACCAGUAACACAAGGCCCUGAUCACGUGUUUUGGAGCAUUUGGGCUAGACAGCAGGCCACUAAUGAAGAUUGCCUGCGUAGGCAGACACAAAUGUUUGCAAGCCUACCAUGUCACCUCAGAAGAGUAACCAGAAAUAUGAGUAGACAAAAUGAACAAACCACGAGAAUUGGCAAUACCAUGGAACUCAUGCGUGCAGACAUUACACAGGUCAUGGGCAACUUACAGCGCAUAAUGGAAGAACAGCACAGACUAAUGGAAGGACAGCACAGACAACAGCAAAGCUAUAUGAACAUUUUUCAAAACAAUCAAAAGAUAAAUGAAUCUUUAUUCCGAAUUGUAGACAAUGAAAAUGCUGCAACACGUGAACUCAAUGCCACCCUCACUAACCUCAAUGAAACACUCAGAUCCAUGCACCAACAGCAAACAAGCAGCAGUUCAGGUACGACUACUCCAAAUAUCAUGCCAGUGUCCUCACCACCAAGGCGCUCCACCAGAGCACGCCAACACGACAGUGGUAAAGGCAAGGCCAGUCCAAGCAGCCAACACCAAAAAAAUAAAAAAUAGAUACACCGAUCUCUGUAUAGAGAAGAAAAUAAACACAGUUAGUAAGUGUAGGUUUUUCACAAUAUAUAUAACACUUACUACCUUGACAAUUUGUUGAACAUCAUUAAUUAUAAGUGUUACAAACAACAACAGGAUUUUUGCCAACACAUUUAUUCUUUCACAUCUUAACAUUUUUUGUGAGGAGGAGAAAGUUAUUUGAUCUGCACAUUGAUGUUAGCAUGCAGUAACAAGACCACUUGAUUUUUUUCUAAUCAUUACUCUUUCUAGAUUCCAAUCAUUCUCAUUUCCUGCAGGCAGACUAAUUGGCAGCCAUGCAGAAUGUAUUUAGCAUGCAGUAACAAGACCACUUGAUUUUUUUCUAAUCAUUACUCUUUCUAGAUUCCAAUCAUUCUCAUAUGCUGCAGGCAGACUAAUUGGCAGCCAUGCAGAUUCAUCCAUGACCAAUACAAAUUAAAAUGUGUUUGUUAACUCUUUUACCUUUCUUCUGUAUACAACAUUACAAGAAUAACACAAUUGAGUUGGCUAAAAAGGUCGUAAUAUGUUGUAAUAGCAUUUAGAUAAUUCAGUGCCAAAAUGAAUGUCAUUAUUGUUGUGCCAUGUUUGUGUGUGUUAAAAUUGAGCAAUCAGUUUAGUACACACGAAGCAGAAACAAAUAAAUGGUAUUUGUAUUUAAUGAGCACAAAUAAUGUGCAUAACAAUGAUUAUAUGCGGAAACUGUGUAUUGACUUACAAAUCAGCAAGUUUACUGCAGCAAACAUUGCAAAAUAAUUUUUUUGGAUGAUACUAAGUUUGUGUCCCUUAAAUACGAUGGAGCAUCACACAUAGGGACACAUGUAUUCCUCAAGGCUAACAUAUUAUAUGUGGAGGAGUGUUUCAUUAGGACACAGGUUCUCUAACUCGGUCCUCAGGACCCCACACAGUGCAUGUUUUGCAGGUCUCCACACAGAAUCACAAGUGACAUAAUUAUCUCCACCUGUUAAACUUUUAAAAUGUGUCUGUGAGUAAUUCAUACACCUGUGCUCCUACUGGGUUACCUGCAAAACAUGCACUGUUUGGGGUCCUGAGGGACGAGUUUGAGACCCUGUGCAUUAGGACGUUACACACAAUCUUAAAGUAAAAUACUGAAACAAAUACUUUGUGGAUUAUGUGUGCUUGUAAUAAUUAUCAGUGCAAGUUUAAUAACACUUAUCCAGACUUCAUGCAUGCCACUCAUAAUCUGUUUUGAGUUGUAAAAUAAACACAAUACACAUGCUACAUUUGUUUUGCAUAAAGC